UACGAAGGGUGCUAGCGUUGUUCGGAAUUACUGGGCGUAAAGGGCGCGUAGGCGGUUUAACAAGUUGGGUGUGAAAGCCCAGGGCUCAACCCUGGAACUGCACUCAAGACUGUUUUACUUGAAUUCGGUAGAGGUUGGUGGAAUUCCCAGUGUAGAGGUGAAAUUCGUAGAUAUUGGGAAGAAUAUCCGUGGCGAAGGCGGCCAACUGGACCGACAUUGACGCUGAGGCGCGAAAGCGUGGGGAGCAAACAGG
rnacentral:rRNA from 1 species